rnacentral:rRNA from 1 species
GCAAGUCGAUUCGAUUUACCUUCGGGUAUUGAGGAUGGCGGACGGGUGCCUAUCGCGUAAGGAACUUGCCUCUUGGACUGGGACAACUGUUGGAAACGGCAGCUAAUACCGGAUAUUAUGAGAUUCUCGCAUGGGAAACUUAUGAAAGCUAUAUGCGCCAAGAGAGAGCCUUGCGUUCCAUUAGCUAGUUGGUGGGGUAAUGGCCCACCAAGGCGACGAUGGAUAGCCGGCCUGAGAGGGUGAACGGCCACAAGGGGACUGAGACACGGCCCUUACUCCUACGGGAGGCAGCAGUGGGGAAUAUUGGACAAUGGGCCACAAGCCUGAUCCAGCAAUUCUGUGUGCACGAUGAAGGUCUUCGGAUUGUAAAGUGCUUUCAGUUGGGAAGAAGAAAGUGACGGUACCAACAGAAGAAGCGACGGCUAAAUACGUGCCAGCAGCCGCGGUAAUACGUAUGUCGCAAGCGUUAUCCGGAUUUAUUGGGCGUAAAGCGCGUCUAGGCGGAAAAAUAAGUCUGAUGUUAAAAUGCGGGGCUCAACUCCGUAUUGCGUUGGAAACUGUUUUUCUAGAGUACUGGAGAGGUGGGCGGAACUACAAGUGUAGAGGUGAAAUUCGUAGAUAUUUGUAGGAAUGCCGAUGGAGAAGUCAGCUCACUGGACAGAUACUGACGCUAAAGCGCGAAAGCGUGGGGAGCAAACAGGAUUAGAUACCCUGGUAGUCCACGCCGUAAACGAUGAUCACUAGGUGUGGGGGGUCGAAC